UGCCACGUGCCUUCUCGUUAUUAGUGUUCAUUUUGGAAACGCUGGUGCAUGUUCGGCUCGUGUGAGGCCUCGACUCGAGCGCCCGGCGCCGAGCCAUCUUCCCGCCAUCCUCUUCCGUCGCGCCGCCCACGGUUGGCGUGUCCCGCUUCCACCGUCCUCUGAGGAGCAACAUGAGCGCCUCCGCCGAAGCAGCGCCGGAUCCCGCCGGAGACCCCGCUUCUCCCUUGCCGGGCGUUGGCGAGGGUAAUCCCCCGGGGGGCGACGUGGUGGUGCAGUACGUGGUGCUCCGGCGCGACCUGAUUGACACGUGGCCGCUCGGGAGCGUCGUCGCCCAGGGCUUCCACCACCACCCCGACGUCCUUGCCUGCUGCACCGACCGCAACCUUGAUUCCAUGCACAAGGUAACUCUGUAGAUGAAGGGAGAGACACAAUUGAGGAACCUGGCGAACAAGCUGAAGAAGGAAGGGAUCGACCACAAGCUGUGGGUAGAGCAACCGGAGGACUUCCUUACUUGCAUCGCAACCCGGCCGUACCCCAAGUCUCAGGUUGCCUCUUUCUUUAAGAAGCUUAAGCUUUGCAAAUAAUCUGCAAAGUUGGCAAAGAAUUCUACCAAUUAUUCGAGUCUUAUCUUUUACAUCUUUUCCUCUUCAAAUUGAAACAAUAUGCUCUGCCUUCAAUCUUGAUUGCAUUGUGUUGAAAUUUUGCAUACAGAAAAAUUACAAGCUUUCAGAAUUGCAUUGGUGGGUUGAAGUUAGUAGAAUUGAGUAGUAACUCACUUUGGAUAAUCUGCCAAAUUUGAAUCACUUGUGUAUACUUCAAACCUAAUAAUUAUAAGUUGUAGCAGCUCUGCUUGCAGUUUUGACAUAAAUCUAAACCAAAAGAAACAAUUUAAUGUGAUAUUAUAGUUUAGACUUUAGAUAAUAAAUUUUGUGAGCUAAAUAGAUUAAUGAUAUAUAAACUGACAAACAUAUGUAUAAUAUUUCUGUAUGAAAAUAUCAUAUUACAUGAUUGUAGUACACAAGGAUCACUUUUUCGGAUACCAAACCCGGUUUGGUGAUCUGGUUGGGCCAAUUAGUGCCGGUGUACCAUGUGUCGGUACAAUGAUGUGUAUCAGUAUUUUAGAGAGAAAGAAAAAGAAGGAGAAGAGGAAGGGAUAACUGGGGAAGAGAAGGAGAGAUGGUAGAAGAAGAAGAUGAAGAAGCAGAGUUGAGGUUGUGGCAGAGGUGUAGAUAGCUAUGCACGGUGGAGGUGUUGCAUAGCGACGGUGUGUGAUGUGCGCUAGAAGAUUAGGGUUAUCACUUGGUCACUUUCCUUUUUAUAUGGAUGGACCAGACCAUGGGUGAUCUGCAUAUUGGUUCACAUCCAAACCAAUACGUACUACUUGUUUCGUAUCGGUCCAGACGAAACGUACAUCAUGGUCAAGGGUAAUAUACUAAGCAACACCACAAUCGACCUCCGUAAAGACUUCUAUUAUUGAUGCUUUUCCUAAAGAACUCAAGAUAAAUCAUGGUCUUUAUAUAUUUUUUUUCUUUGAAGAGAAACUACGGACAACCAUAUCACAACAUGGAUACUGAACCGUGAUAUGGAUACUCCAAAAAUUGUUUCUUUUGUUUUCUUGGGAGAUUAUGGAUUCUGAAACAAAUUUUUUGGAGAUAGCAAUUGAUCUUGCUUUUGUUUAUUAUCAAAUGUUUAACCCUAGUAGCAUGGAAAACUAGAUCACCUCUAAUCGACAAAAAAACUUAAUUUUGUUAUCCUUCUUUAUCCUUGUGUAAACCUCUUGAGACGCUUUUCACACGGGAAGAAGUUUUUUCUAACAAAAGAUAAGGAAGGAUUUUCUUAUGAUGUUAAUAUCAAAAUCAAGUACAUGAUCAUGGAAGAAUUGAUCAAACUUGGAUUGUGGAUACUCUGAGCAAGCUGAAUCCAGACUGAGCUGAACUCCAAUUUGCACUAGCAGCUUGGAUAAGUCAAAGUCAUGUUUUAUGCAAUACUUUUUGUGUCCUUUUGUAUUUGGUUUUGGAAUAUCAUAAAGUAUGAAAUGGUUUUUUUUUGGUAAAGAAAGAUAUGGAAACAUUAGCAAUAAGGUGUUACUAAAAUGUUUUGCUGCUUGAUCUCAAUCUCAGAUACAAUGUUUCACUUGAUUAAAUAGAAAACAGAAACAGCACUAUAUGUGAAGAAGAGCCAUAAUCGAACGAUUCAGGUUAACCCUCGAAGGUCCCGUGGAGCAUCAGCCGUCGGAUGAGUCCCGAUCUCCCUUCAGAAACCACAACGCCAAGAGCAAAACCCCCCCAUUGGCAACGCUUUCGCCUACCCAACCCGAAGGUAACCUUGGCCUUUUUAUAUAUUGUUGAUUCAUCCUCUCUCUCUCUCUCUCUCU